CUUCUGCUGAGUCUGAAAUUAUAUUUUAAAAAGGUGAUGAAAUACUAAUUUUUAAUGCAACCUCACACACCAGAUCUACACUGAGCUCACCCGCAAGCUGCCUGCGAUGGUUGAAUGGAAUCUCUUUCUAUUUCAUAGUCUAGAAAGGCAUGUGAGAUCACAAGAGAGACCCAUCAAUUCAAUCAUGUGCAGGUGGAAGAGAAAAACCCAGAAAUGAAGGAGAGUUGGUGAUGAUUCAUGAAGCUAUAUUUGAUUGAUUCAUCUCUCUAUCAUCAUAAUUAAUCACUAGCAGUGAAAGUAAUAGCAACAUUAAGAACUCAGCCACCCCCUUCAAAGGAGAUUCAGAGCCCAAAAAAUCUAAACCAAAAGGCCAAAAAAACAAAAAACACUCAACACAAAAAGACCAAAAUUUUAACUAUUUAUGUACAUGUAUAUAAUCUUCUUCCUCUUCCUCCUUGGAUGCCAAGAAAAUGCCUAGAAAUUGGGUCUAUUUUGGAGCGAACCCAAGAGCCCAUCUCACAGAAAGAAAGAGAAAUCAAGAAAGAGGCCAAAACAAGACAGAGAGAGAAAGAGAAGAUUAACUUUGAACCAUUUCUCUCUCUCUUGAUGAAUCCCUCUUAUCUUUGGUUUCUCCCAUCACCUGAUUCAAGAAUCACUAUAAUCUCUCCAGCAAAUGAGCAUGGUAACACACCUCCUCAUGAUGUAGAAUCUGGCUCUCUGUUCUUUAACCAAUCUUGCACAUUUUCUUGUAAAAGAACACCUUCUCUGAGAUGAAUUCUUCAUGAGAGGAGAAGAUGAAGAUCGGCUGCUUCUUGAUGACCCUUCUUUCUUUGAAAGCUUCCACUUCUCAUCAAAGUAAAACUGAGGUGGUGCACUUGCACUAUGAGCAAGAGUAUUAGCCAUAACAAAAACUGCUGCAGCAAGAAAGACGAGAAAACAGAAAAGAAGCUUGUCAAAGAUCUCUUUAGGCUCCUCUGUUUUAGUGGAUUUGUUCAAGAAAGCUAGAGUGAAAAAAGAGACAGAACCAAAUGGGCGUUGAUUCUUGGAGAACUUAAACUGAGUUCAUAGAAGGAGAAAGAGUGGCGG
rnacentral:misc_RNA from 1 species